AUCUGGCUUGUCACCCGAUGCAGCCGGAAAAAACGCAAUGCAACUAAUUAAUAGCGCAGGUGAUCAUGUCAUCGACAUGUGUUAUUGGGGCGCAUGUGACGAGUGUAUUUAUUUACAUAGCGAGCCUUGUAUCACUUUAGAUUUGGCUCGAGCAAACGUCGACACUUUCGAGAAAUCGGUAUUUGUUUACAUCGGAAACGAGGGCGCCUUUUUUCCUUACCAAACAGUCGAGUGACUAAGAGAAGUGAGCAAAACAAGUUGCAUCAUACCCAAGGAUGGCAAACAAGUACGGUCAGAUUAAUAAUGGAGCAUAUGGACGUCGGCAGUACUCCUGAAUGCUUCUGAGUAUUGCAAGCGCGAUGCCGACACCGCUGUCAAUACAGUGCAUCCCUAGGAGCUCUGCCUCUCUCAUCACAGGAACAGAAUACCACUUAGGAGCGGCAUUAUCGGGAUGUAAUCUACUGUAAGAUUUAAUAAAAGCAGUAGUUUAGGCACAAGAAUUAUUUUUAUACUAAUGAUUCUAAACUUUUGCUUUUUUGACUGAAUACGUAUAAAUUACAUAAAUAUACGUAGUAAAUAUGGCUUAA